ACGCCGUUGGUGAAAUGGUUAUCAUGCUUGCCUUCCAUUCUGGGCCCAUGGUUGCACAGCCACAAGCAAGCGGCGGGGGUUCGAUUCCCUCACGGCGUA
rnacentral:tRNA from 1 species